rnacentral:lncRNA from 1 species
CUCCCCCGCCCCCGCCCCCCGCUCUGCCGCGGGCCCCCGCCCGCCGCGGGCCGAGAGCUCGGCGCGCUCGACCCCGGGUCCCGCCUCCCCGAGGUUUUCGCUUUCGCUUUCCCGCUGAUGUCGUUGGGGAAAAUUAAGCUGCCGAGGCCAGGCUGGCGCAGAAGCCGUUCCUGGCGAGGGGCGCAGAGCACGGCRGCGGCGGCGGCCGGCCUGGAACCCGGGUCCCGCUGCCCGCGCCGGGCGAGAUGGCAGCACGCCCUGGGCUUCCCUGCACUGUCCCAAGGCUGGACAGCAGAGAAGCAAGAAAAUGGACUCCCUUCUCUGGGAGACUUGCUUGAAUGCCAGCCAUGGGACUUUGCUCAGUGGAUUGCUCCAUCCUCCUUGGAAUCCCUUCUCCUAAUGUUCUUGCCACUACUUCUCCAACUGAGUUGCUGAGCUGUUGAGUGGCAUGCCGUCCUUGGAUGGCUUCUCCACCGACUUCCAUUCUACAUCAUGGUCAUCUUGACUUCGAAGAGCUACAUGCUGAACACUCACAAAUAUUCAUUUCCAGACUCUCCCCUGGAUAUCUCCAGCCAAGUGUCCAAAAGACAUCUCACACGAAACAUGUCUGUGUUAGCUUUUCAUCACUGUGACCAGAAUACCUGACAAGAACAACUUAGAGGAGGAAAGCUAUUUUUGGGCUCUCAGUUUCUGAGGAUUCAGUCUAUGGCAGCUGGCUCCAUUCCGUUGAACCUGAGGUGAGGCAGAACAUCAUGGUAGAAGUGGGUGGUAAAGAACUGCUCAAUUCAUGGCAGCCAGAAAGAAAACCUUCUAAGACGCUGGGGCUGUAGCUCAGUGGCAGAGCCCUUGCCUAGCAUGUGUGAGACACUGACUGGAUUCGAUUCUUAGCAUCACACAAUUAAUAAAUAAAAUAAAGAAACUUCUUGUAGGGAACA